GCGUCUUGGAGGAAAGAGCAAAACAUGUAGGUGCUCUGUUAUUUGCUGUAACUGUAACUUAGCCGGGUCCCAAAUUAGUGAUAUAGCUCCGUCAAAUCAAACCCGAAGGGGCAAAAGAGAGUAUUUGUACCAGCUCGAACGACUUCAAAGUUCAAUCGAAAGUUUCUCUGCAGAAAAAAGAACCAAAAAAAUAAAAAGUAAGGGCAGUGACUACAAACAUUAUUUGUGUCUGGUUUUACAGCGUAUUCAAAGUUGGCGACUCAGAAAAAAUCUUAACCCUAACCCAUUACACUUACAGCCAAGAGCUAAAACGCUGCGUACCCUGCUAAUCGUACUUGUUGUUUCCAAGAGAUGGACAUUUUGACCCCACGCGCAACACCAGCUUUUAUUUGACUGCUGUCCGAACAGUUGAGCACAAUCCUGUUUCCACUCACCCAACCAUUUU
rnacentral:lncRNA from 1 species